AUGGCGCCCGCUGCAGGGCUGGUCCUGGCUUCGCUCGCCGUGGUGCUGGCAACCACGCUGUGGAAGGCUGCGGUGCACCUGGUGUGGCGCCCCUACGCCGUAGCGAGGGCCUUCCGGCGGCAGGGGAUCCGCGGGCCGGCGUACCGGUUCUUCGUCGGCAACAACGAGGAGGUCAUGGCGAUGCGCGCGGCGACGGCCGACGACGUGCUCGACCUCGGCUCCCACGACAUCAUCGCGCGGGUGAUGCCGCAGUACAAGGCGUGGGUGGCGUCCUACGGUAAGAUUUUCCUCUCGUGGUCGGGGUAUACGCCGUCGCUCUGCGUCGGCGACCACGACAUGGUGAAGCAGAUCCUGUCCAACAAGACCGGGCUGUACGCCAAGCCCAACCCGGGGCCCAACUUCCUGGCCCUGCUGGGCAAGGGCCUCGUCUUCUCCGACGGCGACGACUGGGCGCGCCACCGCCGCAUCGUGCACCCGGCGUUCACCAUGGACAAGCUCAAGAUGAUGACCAGGACGAUGGCGGAGUGCGCGGGGGACAUGGUCCGGCCGUGGGAGGCGCUCGCCGAGGCGAGCGACGGCGGCGUGGCGAGGGUGGACGACGUCGGCCAGCAGUUCGUGGAGCUGACCGCCGACGUGAUCUCGCACACGGCGUUCGGGAGCAGCUACAGGGAGGGGAAGGAGGUGUUCGUGGCGCAGCGGGAGCUCCAGUACAUCGCCUUCUCCACCAUGAACAACGUCCGUGUCCCGGGCCUCGAGAACCUCCCCACCAAGACCAACCUGCGACGGCGGCAGCUCACGGGCAAGGUGCGCGGCACGCUCAUGGCGAUCAUCCGCGAGCGGCAGGCCGCCGCUAAGGAGGCCAAAGGCUACGGCAACGACUUGCUUGGCCUGAUGCUCGAGGCCAACGCGUCGGUCGGCGCCGGCGGCCAGAAGGCGGCCGCCAUUAGCAUGGACGAGAUCAUCGACGAGUGCAAGACCUUCUUCUUCGCCGGGCACGACACAACCUCGCACCUCCUCACCUGGGCCAUCUUCCUCCUCGGCACGCACCCCGAGUGGCAGCAGAAGCUCAGGGAGGAGGUACUCCGGGAGUGCGGCGGCACGGGCACGCCGCUGCACGGCGACGCGCUCAACAAGCUCAAGCUGACGACGAUGGUGCUUUACGAGACGCUGAGGCUCUACGGCGCUGUGAUCAUGAUAGCGAGGGAGACAACGGCGGACACCGAACUCGGCGGCGUGAAGAUCCCCAGGGGAACGACUACCAUGAUACCGAUGGCGAUCAUGCACCGGGACGAGGAGGUGUGGGGCGCGGAAGCCGGCAAGUUCAAGCCGGACCGGUUUCAGAACGGCGUGGGCAGAGCCGCGAAGCACCCGAGCGCGAUGCUCGCCUUCUCCGCCGGCCCGCGGUCGUGCAUCGGGCAGGACUUCGCGAUGCUGGAGGCCAAGGCGACGCUCGCCGAAAUCCUGCGCCGGUUCGAGUUCGAGGUCGCGCCGGAAUACGUGCACGCGCCGGCCGAGUUCCUGACGCUGCAGCCCAAGUGCGGGCUCCCCGUGCUGCUCAAGCUCCUGGAUCAGGAAGAGUAG
rnacentral:rRNA from 1 species